GGGGGCGCACUGGCUUCGACUCAUCGUUGGAAGCGCGGGCGGCAUGUCGAGGAUGGUUCGUUGGCCUCGUUAAAAACCGGACCAAACAAAUAAACGCAGAUCACCAAGAUCUCGCUCUCG
rnacentral:tmRNA from 1 species